UGAAAAAUGCCUGAGUUGGAGUUAGCUAAAUGGAGGUGUGGUUGAGUGAGAGGGGCCAUGAUUAGCAAAAGAAAGAGCUUGAGCCAAGAGGUGAAAGCAAGAAAGUGUAUCCUGAAGGACAUAGAAGGGACAAGAGGCAGGAAGGCUUUCUCUGGUAUCCUAAAGAGUUUGGGCUUGACCCUGGAUGGAGAACUGCUAGGAGAAUUUGGGUAAGGCAAAGACACAACUAUUACAUUUUAGAAAAAAAUGAUACCACUGGCAAUACAGAAAAUGUAUCAAAGUUGAAGCCACUGGGUACAUCAUGGUUCAAGUCGCUGAGAAUGAGAACUGAUAGAGACCUAAGGGGGUGGCAAGUAGAGGGGAAUUCAUGAUGAACUCAGUUUGGAAUAUGUUGAAUUCACAUAUUCAGAGAAAUGUUUAGGGUAGUGGGGAAGACAAGAUUUGGGCAUAAGAGAGAGAAGAAAAAUUUGAGAGGUUGAGAUUGUGCAGUGCUUUAUCAUAGCAUGUAUGAUCUCUUGACACAUUCUUUAUUUCAUGUCUUCCCUGACUAGAAAUAAACUUCACGAGGGUGAGAACUUUGCUUUAUUUCCACCAUCUAGAACUGUGCCUGAACCACAGGGAGCACUCAGGAAAAAUUUACUGAAAAGAUGAAUUAUUCAGAAUUGUAGUUGAAAAGGUGUCUUCAGAGGAGUUUACUUACAUGCAGUGGACAUGAAAUAGGGCAUAGAGUGAAACCGUAGGCAAAACAUUGGGUGGAUAAUGUCAUUUGAUGCCAAAAAAGAAGCACUGAGGAAUUAGGAAAAACAAGAGAUAAUGAGGUCCCAGGUGACAAUGGAAGCAGUUGUGGAAAACUGCUUUAAAUGUCAUAGAGCACUCAGAAGGAAUUCAUAAAUGACCUCAUAAAGAAGUCCACUGUGGUUUCCCUGCAGAGGUGGGAAUAGAAUCAGAGUGCUAAGGAUUGAGGGAUUAAGAGGAGGUGAUUGUAUUAUUCCUCUUUUCAGAUAAUGGAGAGAGAGAAGAGAACAGCAGUAGCCGUUGCCAGAAAUAUUGAGCAAGGCGGAUUUAUUAGAUGAAGAUAUCAAAAUACUUUCCAUUGAGGAAACAGGUUGGAGGUGGGAGGCUGUAACCAUGCUUGAUUUUGUACCACCCUAACCUUUGCUUGUAAGUAUACUUUUUGAAAACCCAUUUUAUUGAACUGAAAUGUAUUUUGUUCUGAAGGGUUGAAAAAGGCUAAAGAAGUGGGAAGGAAUUUUUGUUAAACCUUAUACAAUAAGGGAAAAUUUUCCAGCAACAUGGAAAGACAUCAGAAUUGAAAUCCUAGUGAACUACUAACUAUGUGAAAUGGACAAGUGGCUUAUUAUUCCAAUUUUACAGAAAAGAAAAAUGAGACAUAAAUGUUAACAUCUAUGUGUAUGAUGAUUACGUGAGAUAAAUUUGGGUCUCUAUUUUGAGUGUUUUGUGGGCAGGAAUGGAUUAGGACUUUCUAAAAUAUUAAAUGGGCCAAUCUAAAUAUGUGAUCAAAAUUUUUCAGAGGUAUAUUUUGUGGUAUUUACAGCAAGAUGAGAAUGUAUUUUAAAUUGAUCUUUGAUCAUAUUUUUAUCUUUUAAACAUGUUCUGCCUCAUUUUCUCUGUAAUAAUAACUAUAAUUAUAUCCAUUCCUCAUUAUAAAGCUGCUCUUUUUUCUUUUCUGACAUUCUGCCUUCAUCGACUAAUGGUGGUGAGGCUACUACCUCCUGAGGUUACUUAUAAAAUUAAAGCGAUUGGGAAGGAAUGUUACAUGCAGUCCACAUUGUAUGUGAUACCGAGAGGAGACAGGAGGGCAGAGUCCCUGAUGAGAGCUCCACCCUUAAGCCUGGACCCGUGGCCCUGAAUGAGAACAGGCAUUGCUGCUUUCCUGCCCAAAGGCUGCUUUUUCCAAAACCACCGUGGCCCACCAUGUCCCCUAUCCUGUACCUAUAAAAACCCCAAACUCCACUGGCAGAGGAAUAGAGUGGCACAGCAGAGAAGGAAAGAAUAGAAGUGUCUGAAUGUCAAAGAGGGAGCUGGACAGUCAGAGAGGAGUUUGGCUGGGGACAGCUGAGCUCCAGGGGAAGAUCAUCUUCCCACUCCAUCCCCUUUCCAGCCCCCCAACCCACAAAGAGCCACCUCCAUCAUUCAGUAAAACCUCUGCAUUCACCAUCCUUCAAGUCCAUGUGACCUGAUUCUUCUUGUACUCUGGACAAAAAUCCAGGUUCCAAGAGGGCAGGGUAUAUGUCACCCUGAUUCUCCACGGGACUGUUUAACACUUAGCCCUCUGUGGACAGCAACUGCUAAAAGAGCAUUAAUUGUAACACAUGCCCUCUGGGGCUCCAGAGGUUGUGCGCAACUGCUAGAUGCUGCCCCUGGCGCCCAAAGGCACUAGCCCUGGUUCCCAUACCCACUUACCUGCAUGCUCCCACUCCUGCAAGGGGCUUGAGUUCAGCAACAAAGCAAAACAAGCUACCACCAACCCUCCACACCCUCCCUGUGGCAAGACUCGCAAGAGGGUCAGGGAACUCUCCCCCGUCAUAUGCGUUAUUCCAGUUUAGUUACCUACAAAAUAAACUUGCCAGAAUUAGUGUUUACUACAUAAGCUAAGCACCUAUUUCAACAUGUGUGAGCUUCUAAAAAGCAAAUCAAUGCUCUUCUGUCCAAUUUUGGCCAAGGCUUCAUGAUCUCUUUCCUUAAAACAUCAACUUAAAUUUUACCAUUACUUUUCUCUCUUCCUUCCCCUUAUCCUAUUUAACUAUUAUUAGAGACAUUUUAAAAAAAUUCCUUUCCUUUUCCAUGCUUGGUUUCCUCAAUAGCGAUUUUAUAUAGAAAACAUUUGACAUUAUAGUCUAGCUUUUCAUAGUUAAAAUUAAAUAUUUCAUUAAAAAGAGGAGUCUAUUUUUUCAGACUUGUAGGGCUCUGGGAAGUGGACUUAUGAAAAAAAUGACUUUGUAUUUAUUUACAGAUAAAUAACCAUGUGUCUGUAAUUAGUAAGAGAUCCACUGUAUGUAAUUUAUCUUUUUCUUAUGUGUUACCUGUUAAAGAUGACCUUGUGUUUCCCGACAUGCUGUCAAGUGAAAGAUUUUGUAAGAAUCCUUCUAUAUUCCUACAUUAUUUUAUUGCAUUGCUCAUCAAUUUUGCAUUUUCUCCCUCUCUUAUGAUCCUAGCCUUUCCUUUAUUAGAAGUAAUUAUCUAGUUCAUAGAAAAUUGUUUAAUUUGGUUAUUUUCAUUACUUCAAAGAGAAAUUCUAAUGUAGAACGAUUUGUUUAUAUAUCUCUUGCAGACUCAAAAUACACACCACUAUUAUAAAAACCUUCCCUGCCUAGCUCAUAUUUCCCCCGACUCCUACCCCAUGGUUCCCUAGCUUAUUGAAUGUACUCAUAGCAUCUCUUUUAGUCUGUAUUGCUAUCAUGUGUUUUUCUAAUCUGUUCCCCAUAGUAACAGUGAAAUCCUUGAGGGCACGAGUCUUAUCUUUUUCAACUCUAUUUUCAGCACCUCGCAUUGUGAGUUGGUGUAAGUAGUUCAGUAAAUAACUGUAGAUGUCAAAAUAAAUAAAUGUCAGCUAAUUUUUAUGUAUAUUCAAAGAUAAAAUUUUAUUUAUUGUCAUAAUUACCUUUACCCAAUCUAUUUUUUAUUGUUUGUUUCAAAUUACACCAAUAAAAAUGUGACAAUAACCAUGCUCAUCCUUAGACUAACACCAAUGUUUAGAAGCAGUUUCACCAUAUAGUUCCAUUUUUAAAAAAUUCUAAAUAUUUGCUAUAUUCUUUAAUUGAGUCUUCCCAAAGCAAUCUUUGAACUAAUUGUUGGUUUCUCAGAUUUCUAUUUUGUUAUCUUUAAGACACUCUUUAAAUCUCAUCAAAAAUCUUCAUGGAAAUUAAUUACAUUGUACCCAAACGUUAUAAAAUCUUACCAUUUAAAGAUACUUUAGAGUUCAUUUGAACUAUUCUUCAAAGAAUUAGCAAUGAAGUUCUUUUGGAUUGAUUGAUAUUCAUGUACCCAAGAAAGAUAGGUAGAAUAUUAAUUCAUUUUAUUAUUUCCAAAGAGAAGGUGUGAAAAUAAACUAGAACACAGUUGAGUUGGCAGAACUGAGUUUGUGUUUACAAAACUGAAAAGGCUGGACCACAAUGUGGUUUACUGGUGAUAUAUUAAUUUAGAUAACAAUUAAAUCUCGGAGACUUACCAUAUUGAAAGUUUAUUUUUUGGUUUACACAAAUCUGAUAUACUGGAUAGGGGCUUUUCUCCUUUCAUUUACUCAAGGAUCCAGGUUCCAGUCCAAUAUGCACCAUUCAGCCUGGUUGCAGCAUGUUAAGCAGCCCUGGAGGCAGCAGAUGAGGGAUCCUAUGAAGCAACUUUCAGACAUUCAGAACCAAGACAAAAAAAAAGAGAAUUAAAGUAAAAUAUGAUGUACCCAGGAGUUACAUCAGUGAACCAAAUACAGCCUCAAAUUUCGAUCUGUGCUUCACAGCAGCCAGCAAAAAGAACAAAACAUAUUUUGUUAGUUCAUAUAAAUAAAUAAAUUAAAAAUGCAUGAAUAAAUAAAUAAAGCAAACCAGUUUCUCGAUUCUGAAAUAUUUUCUGGAAGUGAGAACUGAAAGGAAUUUCCACCAUGGACCCACAAGCAGUUGUUGGUGGCAUAUAUAAUGAGUGCUGGGUGUUAAGGAAGCAAUGGUGAAGGAGAGACACCCUCCCGACCCUCAUGGUGCUUGCAGCCUAGUGGAGCUAUGAAAAGAUAGGCAAGUGAGUCCUAUGAUUGGAGAAGUAAUGAGAAGUAAUGAGAAGCGUCUUCUAAGCAUAGGGGUAAAGACUGCAAAGACCCUGAAGGGAGAAAGUAAUGGCCAUUCUGAGAACUGAAAGUUUGCACAGUGCACAGAGGGCAUGAAGAACGAAGGAAAGAGAUUUUUUUUUUUUUUUUUUUGCCCAAGAUGGCAAGUUGCUUAAAACCUAAAGCUCCUUUCAAUUCUUUACAAUCCAAGAUUAUAUGGAAUGGACUGGGAACAAAGAGAGGGACUGGCAUUUAAAGUCUUUUAUACACUUUGGAACAAAUGUUAUUCUCCAUUCAUCCUGACACUAAAUUGGUUAGCCAAACCCAAAGAUCUACUAAUAAUCCUGCUUUGGCAUGGGAGAAUGAGUGAGAUAAGGAGGCAAUAGAGGAGAUGAAUCGACAAAUGGAAGGAAUAGAAUUCUGGUUGAUGUCCUUGUCUCUAAGCUGUAGCAGCAAGUAUUUAUCCUAAUCAUGUGGUGUUAGCACGGAGAUGAGAAAGAGAGAAAGACAACAUCAUGCUUUGCUGUCUGUGUGUGAACUGAGUAACAGCUGUGAAGGAUCAGUCACCAAAAGACUUUGAAAGAAGAGGCUUGAUUGGUCACGGUAAUGAUGCUCCCCUGGCCAUGGAAGUUUAAUUGGGAGAAAAGAACAUCUGCUUAUACGAAAACAUAUUAUAUUCAGCCAUCCCUGCCCUGACUUUGGCCUUUAAAAACAGUGGCAUUAAUUAUCUCAACAAAUGAAUCUUCGGGAUAAAAAUAAUCUAAAUAUUAUUUUACGCUUACUACAUAUUUGCAACGUGCUAAGCUCUUUAUGGUUGCUACCACAAAAAACAUUUAUAAUAUGAGGUGGGUAUUUUUAUUAUAUACAUUUUCAGUUUAAAGACAGUAACUUCAGAAUGUAACUUGUCCUAGUCACACAAAAGCAGGUGUGGACUAAAACUCAAACCCAUGAUUCUUUCACUUUAAAUGAUAUGGUUCUGAACCAUUAAAUUCGAAUGCUACUAAGAAUGGUGAAUGCUAAGCAAUGUUAAGCUACACAUUGUUAUUAUUAACAAAUAAUUUCAAAAGGGCAGGAGAGGUAGGUUAAAAAUUAAAGGGUUAAGCUGGAAUAACAUGUCAAAUUUCUCAGAGUUUUUUAUUUUCAUGAAAAAAUAUAUUUUAUAUUGCAACAGAAUGAACUUGACUUAACAGUUUAGGUAGCUGAUUGCAUAUAUUUUGAUAGUCCUAUCAUAUUUCCAACAAAUACAUUUUCUCCCCACCCCACCUGCAACUGGAGACUUCACAAGGUUAGGAACAGGCUUCACUUCAUUGUGAUGUGUGUAAGGUGACAGAGGACAUAUAACGAAUACGUGGAAGAACUAGGAAUUUGACCUUAGCUUCCAGACAUUUUGAGGAGGAUACACUAUGUCCAUCUUGCUUUCCUAUCAAGAAAAGUAUACCCAGUUUGUGCAGUAGCCCUGUACCAACAGAUACAUUACAGCAGGUUGUUUCCGUAUUUUGGCUAUUGUGAAUAGUGCUGCAAUAAACAUGGAAGUGCUGAUAUAUCUUUGAGAUCUUGACUUCAAACAAAAGAAGAAAAUCUUGCAAUAUAUGACAACACGGAUUAACCUGGAGGACAUUGUGCUUAGUGAAGUUAGCCAGUCACAGACUGACAAGUACUGCACGAUUCCACUUAUGAAGACUACAGUUCCUAUCUUCACAGGUGGCUGUUAGCUCUAAAUGAACUCAUUUAUUUUGAAAGCAUGAUUUAAAGUAUAGUUUUAAACUAUAAGCAUUUCAGAAGUGAUGACCCAUGACUCAAAUCUCAAAAAUAAAUGCUACAGUUCACAGUUGGAAUAUGGACACAAGAAAAAUAAUAGAUGAUGCCACUGAAAGGUAAACAUACCAUUCUGACAUGCAUGAAAAUGAAACGACAAAUUGAUACACGCAGUGCUUGGAAUGGAUGGAGUCCUUCUAAUGAGUGAUUACCUGUGGUAUAACUAUAUUGAUUGUGUUUGUACAUGUCAAAUGGGGCUGGCGAGGAUGAACUUGAAGAAAUCAAUCUUGGAACCUGCUAGGACAGCAGCCUCCUGGUUUCACAGUACUAAAUCAUGACUUCAAAAUUUUGAAGUAAAAGAAAACUGCAAAACUUUGUAAAGGUACCAGUCUCUUCCUGACACUAUUUGCCUUGGCAAAAGAUUCACUGUCAACUUAAAAGACUAACAUGUGCUCAGAUGAUGAUUUGUGGAGGACAGAUAAUUAUGAGUACAUUUAGAAAUACACACUCUUCCAAACCCUGCUCUUUCCAUAUAAUGAAGUUAUUUAUUUCUAUUUUUUAUUUAUUUUUCUAAUAAUUACAAACAUACUUUGGAGACCCACAUUCCUGUAUUAUUCUUUCAACAUACUGAAGAAGAGUUAUUUCUAUGCUUCUUUCUAUGUGUUGGGCUUAAGAUUUAUUAGAAGGAAUGUGUAAAAACAAAGGCAGCAAAGUUUCUAUUUUUAUUGGGAGUCACUCCCGGAGUAAGUGGGGAUAGUUGUGCACACACACACACACACAUUCAUGCACAAAGAAAGAGUGAUCAAGUGUAUAACACACUUUUAGCAGUGUUUUGCUGGAAGAAUAAAGUAUAACUCCUUGUCCGCCCUUUUAUUAUACUGGGGUUCACACUAAGAGAGUCUGAGGACCUGUGGAACUCCCAUUUGCAUGAAAUAACUUUUGCAUCUAUUCUGGAGGAAAACUUCCUAAGGCAGAUUUGGACAGAAAAUUGCUAUCAGCGCAAAUAAAACAAUGCAAAGCCUACUCCGGGGAACGUUGCUCUGCCACCACUACUGAAAUGGGUCAUCCCCUUGGUUUCUGAAUAAAGAAUUAUGAAACCUGGGGCUAGAAUGCUCAGGGAGGAAUUUACCAAUCCAAAUCUUCCCCUUAUGGUAGAGAACAAACUUUCAAGGUUUGUUCUCCACUGUAAGUGUGCGAGGGCUGUUAGGGACCGUAAUAUGGCUGCCGGAGACUGGUGUGUGUACCUCCUUGACUGUACGUCUCAUUUCCAGUUAUGAUUUUACAAUCAUCUCUUUCUCAACCUUUGCUUUUAAAUAUAGGAAGGUACGGCUCACCAUGGAGCGGACAUUUUCUUCAGGAGCGGUACGGUGUCUAAGAUAUGCAGAGGUUGUAUUCUAGUCCUAUAACUCAAUUCUCAAACACAUGGCUUUUAGCCAGGGAUAUCCUAAAGGAAAAUUACACUAUAUGCAACCCCUCCUUACUCCUCAAAUAUUAUCUAUAUUAAACACAGCUGAAAUUUGAGAGUGUCCUUACAGGUGAAAAUUUAACAAUUUAACAAAAGGACACUGCUGAAUGUGUGGGGACAAAGGAAGGAUGAAUCUUUCAUCAUGACAAAAGACUACUUGCCACAUUCUCCCUUAACUUAGAAAAACAGAAAAGAGGCUGGGCGUGGUGGCUCCUGCCUGUAACCUCAGCACUUUGGGAG
rnacentral:lncRNA from 1 species